rnacentral:rRNA from 1 species
UACGUAGGGGGCAAGCGUUGUCCGGAAUCAUUGGGCGUAAAGAGCGUGUAGGCGGCUCGGUAAGUCCGCUGUGAAAGUCCAGGGCUCAACCCUGGAAUGCCGGUGGAAACUGUCGAGCUAGAGUCCGGAAGAGGCGAGUGGAAUUCCUGGUGUAGCGGUGAAAUGCGCAGAUAUCAGGAGGAACACCAAUGGCGAAGGCAGCUCGCUGGGACGUUACUGACACUGAGGCGCGAAAGCGUGGGGAGCGAACAGG